GUUAGGAAUAUUGGACAAUGGGCGCAAGCCUGAUCCAGCCACGCCGCGUGAGUGAUGAAGGCCUUCGGGUUGUAAAGCUCUUUAGUCCACGAAUAUAAUGACUGUAGUGGAAGAAUAAGCCCCGGCUAACUUCGUGCCAGCAGCCGCGGUAAUACGAAGGGGGCGAGCGUUAUUCGGAAUCACUGGGCGUAAAGCGUGCGUAGGCUGUUUUGUAAGUCAGAAGUGAAAGCCCAGGGCUUAACCCUGGAAUUGCUUUUGAAACUACAAGACUCGAAUUCGGGAGAGGAUAGCGGAAUUGUCAGUGUAGCAGUGAAAUGCGUAGAUAUUGACAGGAACACCAGUGGCGCAAGCGGCUAUCUGGACCGAUAUUGACGCUGAGGCACGAAAGCGUGGGGAGCAAACAGGAUUAGAAACCCGUGUAGUCC
rnacentral:rRNA from 1 species